ensembl:lncRNA
UGAAGAGGUCGAGACUUUUCUGUCUUUGGUGGUGGACCAAAGAAUACAGAGGGAGCUGGACGGAGAAAGUUUAUCAGGAGGUCUCUGAGCGGAUGGCCGCUCACAUAUACAGUAGACUGUAUAUAAAGAGGACAAUGAAGCAGUGUAGGGAGAAGCUGAAAAAGCUCAAAAAUGACUAUUGGUUCACCAAGGACCACAACGGCCGGCGUGGGUCAACCAGGAGGUGUUGGAAGAGGUUUAAUGGAAGCUAUUUACUGGCACCGCACCAGCCAGCAACAGGAGGGAGACUCAGCUGCUGCAUUAUUGGAGACGUUCGAGGACGAAUCCCAUUCGACGUGCGAAGCCUCCUCCACCUCCGUCAUGGAGCCCCCAGCUCCCCUGCCUCUUCUCCACCACCAGCUUCAGGACCAGUACCAGCUCGGACACUGACACUGUCAACAUCAACCUCCAGCACGUCACAGCAACUUCUUAUCUCUGGCAAGAGGAAAAGGUGCAACAGAAAAUUGGACCUUCCAAGCGUCCUUGUGGAGAUGCAGGCUGAGGAGGAGUGGAGUCAUUCCCAGCAUGAUGAGAACAUCUGGUUGCUCCUCAGCGAGGCAAGAGAGAAUGAAGCGGCCUUGCAGUGGAGGAGAUGGUCCAGAAUGCUGCCUUCAACCAGUCAUUCCUGGGUGUGCUGGGGCAGCUGGUGCAGGCAGUGCUGGGUGUACUGGGGCAGCUGGUGCAGGCAGUGCUGGGUGUACUGGGGCAGCUGGUGCAGGCAGUGCUGGGUGUACUGGGGCAGCUGGUGCAGGCAGUGCUGGGUGUACUGGGGCAGCUGGUGCAGGCAGUGGGCAGCCAGUGAGUCCACCUCCCAGAGACUUGAGAUUUAGUUGUAUAUAGUUUUACUUUUAGCCCUCCACUGUAGGAGAGGCCCACCACAGUUUGUACUUUGCACAUUGU